rnacentral:rRNA from 1 species
UACAGAGGUCCCAAGCGUUGUUCGGAUUCACUGGGCGUAAAGGGUGCGUAGGUGGUGAGGUAAGUCGGAUGUGAAAUCUCCGAGCUCAACUCGGAAACUGCAUUGGAAACUACCUUGCUCGAGGGUUGGAGGGGGGACUGGAAUACUUGGUGUAGCAGUGAAAUGCGUAGAUAUCAAGUGGAACACCAGUGGCGAAGGCGAGUCCCUGGACAACUCCUGACACUGAGGCACGAAAGCUAGGGGAGCAAACGGG